UGGCGCCAGCCAGAUUUGGUGCAUUGUGGUACUUGUCCGUGUUGCAUUAUCCUUUUCCGGCCUGUCUGAUUUACCUAUGCCUUUGGUUUACAUGUUGUUCUGUUUUGUCAUCACUCCCCGCCCUCUAGCCGGGUUUGUUGCGUCAGAAUUCUGGCAGCUUUAGAGAUGCGCGUCGAGCGAGGCGGAUAAAAUGUAUAGAAGGCGUGUGUUUUCUGCCGAGAUAUUGAAGAUUUAACCAUGAGAAAUAUUAUUGUAUUCGUCGCGUGGAUUUGGAAUGCCAAACAUGCUUAAUUUGAUAUUUGUGCGAGUGAUGGUGAAAUCUCGGUACGUGUCAGUGUGCGACACUAUUUCGCUCUUUUCGGCGGGUGCGUCUGGCCCGAGAGGUUGUGUCGGCUGCGGUGCUGGUUUUGGACAGAAGGUGGGUGGAUAUUGAUCGAUGAUUGUCGUAAAUUUGUUGCUAAAGGAAUGUUGAUUGCUUUGCCAGGCGUUAGAUUUAUUUUGCAUACGUAUUUCGGUAGUUAUAAUAUGCUCAUAGGACGGCAUGGGAUUUCGCCUCAGGUGCGUCAUUUUGCAGUGUGUUCUGUUUGUAUAGGUGCCCGGGGAGGAGCUCGGCCUGUGCGAGCCCGGUUUUCCCCGUGGCUGAGUGCGCCGUGUGACGAGGCUGCGGUACGAGGUCGGCCGCGGCACGAGGUCGGCCGCGGCACGGGGUCGGCCGCGGCACGAGGUCGGCCGCCGGGAGGUCGGCCGGCGCGAGCCUGCUGCGGUGCGAGGUCGGCCGCUGAGAUAAGGGCGUGGAGACCCUUACAGCCGGUAGGAUAUGCUUAUUUGUUUAUUAACUUCGAGGUGAUAUUUGUAGGGGAAUUGUGUUAGCUAGAGAGUGGGAAGUGUAAAACGGAAAUUGCUGUUAAAUGUAUUAUUGUUUUCAUUAAAUCUAAACCAACAUAUUUUGUAUGUACUGCGCAGUGCGAGUGUCGAUGUGAGCGCUGGUGGAUUCGUGUCCUAGUAUGCUCGCUGACGCCCUGCUGUGCUCCACAGUAACGAAUCAGUUUAAAUACAACUAUUCAGUCAACGGCGUGGUCUCGACGUGCGUGAGCAGCUGAGCUUGGAGUCGUGGACGCCCGGCGGCGGUCGCCUGUGGCGACUGCUGCACCACAGCGUCGGCUGUGGAAACUACAGUUACGGCUGGGCCUCCGUCUACACUCUGGCUGUGCAGCAACGGCUGGGUCAGCUGCAGCCGGCUGCUGCUGCAACUCCGGGUAACCUGCUGCUUCAGCUGCAUCUAGCUGCGCUUGAUACCGGUGCCCGGGGAGGAGCUCGGCCUGUGCGAGCCCGGUUUUCCCCGUGGCUGAGUGCGCCGUGUGACGAGGCUGCGGUACGAGGUCGGCCGCGGCACGAGGUCGGCCGCGGCACGGGGUCGGCCGCGGCACGAGGUCGGCCGCCGGGAGGUCGGCCGGCGCGAGCCUGCUGCGGUGCGAGGUCGGCCGCUGAGAUAAGGGCGUGGAGACCCUUACAGCCGGUAGGAUAUGCUUAUUUGUUUAUUAACUUCGAGGUGAUAUUUGUAGGGGAAUUGUGUUAGCUAGAGAGUGGGAAGUGUAAAACGGAAAUUGCUGUUAAAUGUAUUAUUGUUUUCAUUAAAUCUAAACCAACAUAUUUUGUAUGUACUGCGCAGUGCGAGUGUCGAUGUGAGCGCUGGUGGAUUCGUGUCCUAGUAUGCUCGCUGACGCCCUGCUGUGCUCCACAGUAACGAAUCAGUUUAAAUACAACUAUUCAGUCAA